ACGAUGAUCCGCACAUAUGGUGUUGAUCGGGUUGCUUGGGAAUGCAGCCCAAAGCGGGUGGUAAGCUCCAUCCAAGGCUAAAAACGGGGA